GAUGAACGCUGGCGGCGUGCCUAAUACAUGCAAGUCGAGCGAACAGACGAGGAGCUUGCUCCUCUGACGUUAGCGGCGGACGGGUGAGUAACACGUGGAUAACCUACCUAUAAGACUGGGAUAACUUCGGGAAACCGGAGCUAAUACCGGAUAAUAUAUUGAACCGCAUGGUUCAAUAGUGAAAGACGGUUUUGCUGUCACUUAUAGAUGGAUCCGCGCCGCAUUAGCUAGUUGGUAAGGUAACGGCUUACCAAGGCGACGAUGCGUAGCCGACCUGAGAGGGUGAUCGGCCACACUGGAACUGAGACACGGUCCAGACUCCUACGGGAGGCAGCAGUAGGGAAUCGUCCGCAAUGGGCGAAAGCCUGACGGAGCAACGCCGCGUGAGUGAUGACGGUCUUCGGAUCGUAAAGCUCUGUUAUUGGGGAAGAACAAAUGUGUAAGUAACUAUGCACGUCUUGACGGUACCUAAUCAGAAAGCCACGGCUAACUACGUG
rnacentral:rRNA from 1 species